rnacentral:rRNA from 1 species
UACGUAGGGUGCAAGCGUUAAUCGGAAUUACUGGGCGUAAAGCGUGCGCAGGCGGUUAUGCAAGACAGAUGUGAAAUCCCCGGGCUCAACCUGGGAACUGCAUUUGUGACUGCAUAGCUAGAGUACGGUAGAGGGGGAUGGAAUUCCGCGUGUAGCAGUGAAAUGCGUAGAUAUGCGGAGGAACACCGAUGGCGAAGGCAAUCCCCCUGGACCUGUACUGACGCUCAUGCACGAAAGCGUGGGGAGCAAACAGG